rnacentral:tRNA from 3 species
UCCGGCAUAGCUCAGUUGGUAGUAGCGCAUGACUGUUAAUCAUGAUGUCGUAGGUUUGAGUCCUACUGUCGGAG